rnacentral:rRNA from 1 species
AUUGAACGCUGGCGGCAGGCUUAACACAUGCAAGUCGAGCGGGGGAAGGUAGCUUGCUACCGGACCUAGCGGCGGACGGGUGAGUAAUGCUUAGGAAUCUGCCUAUUAGUGGGGGACAACAUCUCGAAAGGGAUGCUAAUACCGCAUACGUCCUACGGGAGAAAGCAGGGGAUCUUCGGACCUUGCGCUAAUAGAUGAGCCUAAGUCGGAUUAGCUAGUUGGUGGGGUAAAGGCCUACCAAGGCGACGAUCUGUAGCGGGUCUGAGAGGAUGAUCCGCCACACUGGGACUGAGACACGGCCCAGACUCCUACGGGAGGCAGCAGUGGGGAAUAUUGGACAAUGGGGGGAACCCUGAUCCAGCCAUGCCGCGUGUGUGAAGAAGGCCUUAUGGUUGUAAAGCACUUUAAGCGAGGAGGAGGCUACUUUAGUUAAUACCUAGAGAUAGUGGACGUUACUCGCAGAAUAAGCACCGGCUAACUCUGUGCCAGCAGCCGCGGUAAUACAGAGGGUGCGAGCGUUAAUCGGAUUUACUGGGCGUAAAGCGUGCGUAGGCGGCUUAUUAAGUCGGAUGUGAAUCCCCGAGCUUAACUUGGGAAUUGCAUUCGAUACUGGUGAGCUAGAGUAUGGGAGAG